GACGAACGCUGGCGGCGUGCUUAACACAUGCAAGUCGAACGGAAAGGCCCUGCAUUUGUGGGGUGCUCGAGUGGCGAACGGGUGAGUAACACGCGAGUAACCUGCCCUUGACUGCGGGGUAACUUCAGGAAACUGGGGCGAAUACCGGACAGGAGCUCCUGCUGCAUGGGGGGGGAGGGAAAGAUUCGGCGGUGGGGGAUGGACUGGCGGCUUAUCCGCUUGUUGGCGGGGUGGUGGCUUACCAAGGCAUUGACGGGUAGCCGGCCUGAGAGUGUGACCGGCCCCAUUGGGACUGGGAUGCCGCCCGGACUCCUACGGGGGGCAGCAGUGGGGGAUAUUGCACGCUGGGCGGCAGCCUGAUGCAGCGACGCCGCGUGCGGGAUGACGGCCUUCGGGUUGUAACCCGCUUUCGCCUGUGACGAAGCGUGAGUGACGGUAAUGGGUCAAGAAGCACCGGCUAACUACGUG
rnacentral:rRNA from 1 species